rnacentral:rRNA from 1 species
GUGCCAGCCGCCGCGGUAAUACGGAGGGUGCGAGCGUUAAUCGGAAUUACUGGGCGUAAAGCGCACGCAGGCGGUUUGUUAAGCUAGAUGUGAAAGCCCCGGGCUCAACCUGGGAUGGUCAUUUAGAACUGGCAGACUAGAGUCUUGGAGAGGGGAGUGGAAUUCCAGGUGUAGCGGUGAAAUGCGUAGAUAUCUGGAGGAACAUCAGUGGCGAAGGCGACUCCCUGGCCAAAGACUGACGCUCAUGUGCGAAAGUGUGGGUAGCGAACAGGAUUAGAAACC